UCAGUGGCUACAAGAACGACGCUGGCGGCAGGCCUAACACAUGCAAGUCGAGCGAGAUCUUCGGAUCUAGCGGCGGACGGGUGAGUAACGCGUGGGAAUAUACCCUUUGGUACGGAAUAGUCCUGGGAAACUGGGGGUAAUACCGUAUGUGCUCUUCGGAGGAAAGAUUUAUCGCCAAAGGAUUAGCCCGCGUUGGAUUAGGUAGUUGGUGGGGUAAUGGCCUACCAAGCCGACGAUCCAUAGCUGGUUUGAGAGGAUGAUCAGCCACACUGGGACUGAGACACGGCCCAGACUCCUACGGGAGGCAGCAGUGGGGAAUCUUAGACAAUGGGCGCAAGCCUGAUCUAGCCAUGCCGCGUGAGCGAUGAAGGCCUUAGGGUUGUAAAGCUCUUUCAGUGGGGAAGAUAAUGACUGUACCCACAGAAGAAGCCCCGGCUAACUACGUG
rnacentral:rRNA from 1 species